AGGACAGGGUACACUUCCGGUUCACUCUCUAGAGGAAAGGAAAGGCUGUUAUUGGCUGAUCGUUACAGCAACUUUUAACUGAGAAACAAAGCAGACCAUCCAGAUAAAUGAAGCUUUUCUUCAGGUCCAUGGACAAGGCAUUUUCUGCUGCAAUGGCUCUUGCUCUGUAUCAGAAGAUUCUGGCUGUUUCUGGAUGAGUGAGUUCUCUCUCCCAGUGGAAUUUCCUGCCAACUGAUUUUAAGAGAUGGGCCAUACGAGUUAAUGAUCCAAUGCAAUGAGAAAUUUACAGAUGGAAGAUAUCCUAAGAAGGGUACUAAUUUACUAACAGCAAUUAAAGGGUAAGAGCAUGCACAUGUUAAUGCUAUACAGAAGCCUUUUUUAAAAACAACAAUAGUAAUCUCAUUUUUAUAUAGACAUUAUAUAUACAGACUGAGCAUCAUAACAGAUUGCAGAUGGGUUACAUGGGGCCACCAACACUCAAAUAAGAUACAGAAGCUGUUCACUAUCAUCUGACUUUCAUUUACAAGGUCACUAUUAAUAUAAAAUUAGAUCUCAUCUACAUAUUAAUCCAGCUUUUGCCACUACUUCAGACAGGUUCACAGGCACGUAUAUCACUUGAUUACUUCCAGCUGAAUGUGUGAAUGGACUGCUUUGAAAAGAAAAGCAUUUGCAGUGAUGUAUGAAAAUUUGUGAUAGUUCAUUCACACAUGCAAGUUGCUACUUGACUUUGCAGUCAUCAAGUAGUAACCACACAUAGAUGUAUCAGCCCUUAGAUAGGAGGAGAAACAUGUGAGAUGACAAGGCAACUACACAUUGGCAAGAAUCAGUAAAGUAACGUUGUGGUGCCGUCGAGUCUAUGUUGACUCCUGGCAACCCCAGAGAGUGGGAGAUAAUUAGCCUUAAGUGAGAUUUUUAGAUAGCUGGUCCAACAUGACCACACACUCCUCUCUAGGAAGCUAUCUAUAGUUCUUAGCUUCUCUGAAGAAAAAGCUGUCCAGGUGAACUACAAUUAUGUUUAUUUAUGGACAUUUUAAGGUGCACUGCAAUACUGCAUGAUCUGGGGAGGCACAAACUAGCCAGACAGAGCUAUGUUAUGAUCAAAAAAAGAUGUAACAAAAGCAUUACAUAGACAGCAUGCAUUCUACAAAUUAUUAGAAGUUUAGAACUACAUACCUUCCCACGUAAGUAUGCAAUUUGUCUUUUCUGUCUAAAAUAGUUUGUGCUCCCACAAGAGCACACACAUCACUUUAGGAGUUUUGAAAGACUGCUUUCUUUUGUCAAUAUCUACACCUUCAACAGUGCCUUCCUUAGUGUUCUUGGAUUGUAAAUACUAUGGCAGAAAUUUAAAAAAAUUGAACUGUGAGCUUAUGUACUGGAUGGAGUGAUGACCCUGGAAAUUUGGGUUUAAAUCCCAGUUAAUUAGGAGCUCUGGGGCUCUCCCUCUCAGAUUCAGUUGUCCAUCUGUACAGCAGAAAUACAGUGGCCUACUUGCAAGGACUGUCAUGAGAAUGAAUGGAACAAGGAUUGCAUCACUUAUUGCACAAAAAGCUAGUGCUAUGCAGAACAAAUAAAAAUAACAGAAAGCCAUAGGAAUCCGAUGAUUUUUUCAUAGGAACACAAGAAGCUGCCUUAUAUCAAGUCAGACCAUCGGUCCAUCUAACUCAAUACUGUUUGCACAGACUGGCAGUGGCUUUUCCAGGGUUGCAGGUAGGAGUCUCUCUCAGCCCCAUCUUGGGAGAUGCCAGGGAGAGAACUUGGAACCUUCUGCAUGCAAGCAUGCAGGUGCUCAGGGGUAUAGCUAUAACUCAGCAGAUGGGUUCGAAGAUCCUGGCCCC